rnacentral:misc_RNA from 1 species
AAGAAUUGCCCUGUUUUUUCGAAAAUGGGUUCUAUUCCAAACCGUGUAUACAUACCUUUGUUGCUUUGGCGGGCCGCCUCCUCGGAGGCGUCGGCUCCGGCUGACUGCGCCCGCCAGAGGACCCAAACUCAGUUAUCUAUGUUGUCCGAGUAAUAUAUAAUAUUUA